GAUGAACGCUGGCGGCGUGCCUAAUACAUGCAAGUCGAGCGAACAGACGAGGAGCUUGCUCCUCUGACGUUAGCGGCGGACGGGUGAGUAACACGUGGAUAACCUACCUAUAAGACUGGGAUAACUUCGGGAAACCGGAGCUAAUACCGGAUAAUAUAUUGAACCGCAUGGUUCAAUAGUGAAAGACGGUUUUGCUGUCACUUAUAGAUGGAUCCGCGCCGCAUUAGCUAGUUGGUAAGGUAACGGCUUACCAAGGCGACGAUGCGUAGCCGACCUGAGAGGGUGAUCGGCCACACUGGAACUGAGACACGGUCCAGACUCCUACGGGAGGCAGCAGUAGGGAAUCUUCCGCAAUGGGCGAAAGCUUGACGGAGCAACGCCGCGGGAGUGAUGAAGGUCUUCGGAUCGUAAAACGCUGUUAUUAGGGAAGAACAAAUGUGUAAGUAACGAUGCACGUCUUGACGGUACCUAAUCAGAAAGCCACGGCGAACUACGU
rnacentral:rRNA from 1 species